rnacentral:rRNA from 1 species
ACGUAGGGUGCGAGCGUUAAUCGGAAUUACUGGGCGUAAAGCGUGCGCAGGCGGUUCGCUAAGACAGGUGUGAAAGCGCCCAGGCUUAACCGGGCGAGGACAAUGAAGACUGGUCAGCUAGAGGACGGUAGAGGGGUGUGGAAUUCCGGGUGUAGCAGUGAAAUGCGUAGAGAUGUGGAGGAACACCGAUGGCGAAGGCAGCCCCCUGGGUCGACACUGACGCUCAUGCACGAAAGCGUGGGGAGCAAACAG